CCCUUUGGGUGUGACUGCGUACCUUUUGUAUAAUGGGUCAGCGACUUAUAUUCUGUAGCAAGGUUAACCGAAUAGGGGAGCCGGAGGGAAACCGAGUCUUAACCGGGCGUUAAGUUGCAGGGUAUAGACCCGAAACCCGGUGAUCUAGCCAUGGGCAGGUUGAAGGUUGGGUAACACUAACUGGAGGACCGAACCGACUAAUGUUGAAAAAUUAGCGGAUGACCUGUGGCUGGGGGUGAAAGGCCAAUCAAACCGGGAGAUAGCUGGUUCUCCCCGAAAGCUAUUUAGGUAGCGCCUCGUGAAUUCAUCUCCGGGGGUAGAGCACUGUUUCGGCUAGGGGGCCAUCCCGGCUUACCAACCCGAUGCAAACUGCGAAUACCGGAGAAUGUUAUCACGGGAGACACACGGCGGGUGCUAACGUCCGUCGUGAAGAGGGAAACAACCCAGACCGCCAGCUAAGGUCCCAAAGUCAUGGUUAAGUGGGAAACGAUGUGGGAAGGCCCAGACAGCCAGGAUGUUGGCUUAGAAGCAGCCAUCAUUUAAAGAAAGCGUAAUAGCUCACUGGUCGAGUCGGCCUGCGCGGAAGAUGUAACGGGGCUAAACCAUGCACCGAAGCUGCGGCAGCGACACUGUGUGUUGUUGGGUAGGGGAGCGUUCUGUAAGCCUGUGAAGGUGUGUCGUGAGGCAUGCUGGAGGUAUCAGAAGUGCGAAUGCUGACAUAAGUAACGAUAAAGCGGGUGAAAAGCCCGCUCGCCGGAAGACCAAGGGUUCCUGUCCAACGUUAAUCGGGGCAGGGUGAGUCGACCCCUAAGGCGAGGCCGAAAGGCGUAGUCGAUGGGAAACGGGUUAAUAUUCCCGUACUUGGUGUUACUGCGAAGGGGGGACGGAGAAGGCUAUGUUGGCCGGGCGACGGUUGUCCCGGUUUAAGCGUGUAGGCUGGUUUUCCAGGCAAAUCCGGAAAAUCAAGGCUGAGGCGUGA
rnacentral:rRNA from 3 species